AUUGAACGCUGGCGGCAGGCCUAACACAUGCAAGUCGAGCGGAUGAAGAGAGCUUGCUCUCUGAUUUAGCGGCGGACGGGUGAGUAAUGCCUAGGAAUCUGCCUGGUAGUGGGGGAUAACGUUCCGAAAGGAACGCUAAUACCGCAUACGUCCUACGGGAGAAAGCAGGGGACCUUCGGGCCUUGCGCUAUCCGAUGAGCCUAGGUCGGAUUAGCUAGUUGGUGAGGUAAUGGCUCACCAAGGCGACGAUCCGUAACUGGUCUGAGAGGAUGAUCAGUCACACUGGAACUGAGACACGGUCCAGACUCCUACGGGAGGCAGCAGUGGGGAAUAUUGGACAAUGGGCGAAAGCCUGAUCCAGCCAUGCCGCGUGUGUGAAGAAGGUCUUCGGAUUGUAAAGCACUUUAAGUUGGGAGGAAGGGCAGUAAGUUAAUACCUUGCUGUUUUGACGCUACCGACAGAAUAAGCACCGGCUAACUUCGUGCCAGCAGCCGCCGUAACAC
rnacentral:rRNA from 1 species